UUCGAACUAUGAAUGAGUUUGCCCCAAAGAAAUGGAGUCGGAUUUGUUCAGAACAUUUUUCUGACCAUAUGAAGGAAACAGUCGGGAAUAGAGUUGUGUUAAAACCGAAUGCGGGGCCAACUAUAUUCAAAAAUGCUGUGAAUGUAGACUACAGUGAUGAAGGGGCUAAAGGUUUACUAGAUGCUGCUAGUUAUAUAGAAACACAACUCAAUAUUCCUGUGAAUGAAGUAUGUAUUGGAAAA